GCCCAGUUCCUCCAACCACAUAGUGCCAGAUUGUCCUCUUACUGACUGAUUCCAGUGCAGCCAUUUGGAUGUUUAGUCUCCAGAAAUUGUUUGAUUCUGCCUGUCUAUCUCUCUGGCUGGCUCCAAGAUCCCAAUAAAUGGUCAUCCACCAAAAUACCCCUUACAAGAUUCACGCUCCAUGAAGGAAAUCUCUGGAAACUUCCUCAUUCUCAUCCAACCACAUGACGACAAACGGCUCAAACCACCUGCAGCAGAAAGACAAAAAUCCUGCAUGAUGCUUCUCUGCACCGCCAGAGGAAAACACGAGAAGAAAAGGUGCGUGACUCACGCUGGAUAUUCAGGCGGUUCUUCUCAUGCUCUGAAUGUCAAAGACAGCAGGUGUAAGAGAAGCUCCAAGCGGCAGUCUGUCUGAUCUCACAGUGGAGGAGCGAACACUCACCCUCCAUGGCGUACUUCAUGUCCUGAGCGAACAUGUUCCACAUGACUUCUGCACUGAUCUUCCCCACAUUGAGUUCUUGUGGAAACCUGGGGCAGCAUCACAGAAGUUUCAGUCAAGCUUUAGGAGGAGCAGACCAGCAUUUUUCCUGUUUCUCCUCAGAAAACUAAAAAUGAUUUCCUUUGUUCAUACUGAAACUAACCCAUUAGCUCAUUAAAACUGGUUCUAAUAUGUUU